UCUCCGUUGGUGAACCAGCGGAGGGAUCAUUACCGAGUUUACAACUCCCAGACCCCUGUGAACAUACCAUUUGUUGCCUCGGCGGUGCCUGCUUCGGCAGCCCGCCAGAGGACCCAAACCCUUGAUUUUAUACAGUAUCUUCUGAGUAAAUGAUUAAAUAAAUCAAAACUUUCAACAACGGAUCUCUUGGUUCUG
rnacentral:misc_RNA from 1 species